UACGGAGGGGGCUAGCGUUGUUCGGAAUUACUGGGCGUAAAGCGCACGUAGGCGGCUUUGUAAGUUAGAGGUGAAAGCCUGGGGCUCAACUCCAGAACUGCCUUUAAGACUGCAUCGCUUGAACACGGGAGAGGUGAGUGGAAUUCCGAGUGUAGAGGUGAAAUUCGUAGAUAUUCGGAAGAACACCAGUGGCGAAGGCGACACACUGGGCCAUUACUGACGCUGAGGCGCGAAAGCGUGGGGAGCAAACAGG
rnacentral:rRNA from 1 species